GAUGAACGCUAGCGACAGGCUUAACACAUGCAAGUCGAGGGGCAGCGGGGCGGCAGGCUUGCCUGCCGUUGCCGGCGACCGGCGCACGGGUGAGUAACACGUAUGCAACCUGCCCGUGGCAGGGGGAUAAGCGGGGGAAACCCCGUCUAAUACCGCGUAACGCGGCCUUGGGGCAUCCCCGGGCCGCCAAAGGGAGCAAUCCCGGCCACGGAUGGGCAUGCGGCGCAUUAGCUAGUCGGCGGGGUAACGGCCCACCGAGGCGACGAUGCGUAGGGGUUCUGAGAGGAAGGCCCCCCACACUGGUACUGAGACACGGACCAG
rnacentral:rRNA from 1 species